rnacentral:pre_miRNA from 2 species
CUCAGCUGAUCUGUGGCUUAGGUAGUUUCAUGUUGUUGGGAUUGAGUUUGGACUCGGCAACAAGAAACUGCCUGAGUUACAGCAGUCGGU